GGCUUCGUAGCUCAACUGAAUAGAGCAUCUGACUACGGAUCAGAAGGUUGGGGGUUUGAAUCCCUCCGGAGUCA
rnacentral:tRNA from 2 species